rnacentral:rRNA from 1 species
UGGGGAAUCUUAGACAAUGGGGGCAACCCUGAUCUAGCCAUGCCGCGUGAGUGACGAAGGUCUUAGGAUCGUAAAGCUCUUUCGCCGGGGAAGAUAAUGACGGUAACAGGUAAAGAAGCCCCGGCUAACUACGUGCCAGCAGCCGCGGUAAUACGAAGGGGGCUAGCGUUGUUCGGAAUUACUGGGCGUAAAGCGCGCGUAGGCGGGCUAUUAAGUCAGGGGUGAAAUCCCGGGGCUCAACCUCGGAAUUGCCUCUGAUACUGGUAGUCUAGAGUCCGUGAGAGGUGAGUGGAACUCCGAGUGUAGAGGUGAAAUUCGUAGAUAUUCGGAAGAACACCAGUGGCGAAGGCGGCUCACUGGCACGGUACUGACGCUGAGGUGCGAAAGCGUGGGGAGCAAACAGGAUUAGAUACCCGGGUAGUCC